UUGAUUGCUUACGCGGUUACUCGGAGCAGCCUAGUGACGAUAUGGUUUGGGGGCCUGGCGGCGGGCACCCCCUGGGGGGCCGGGGGCUCCGCCCUGGAGCCGCCCGCCGAGGCAACGUUUUGGUAUGUUCGCGAUGGUUUGGAGUCUUGCAACUCUUCAAUGAUCCCUCCGCUGGUUCACCAACGGAGA
rnacentral:misc_RNA from 1 species